rnacentral:lncRNA from 1 species
AAUUUGGCCUGGGGAGAACCGCCUUCAGGCGUUUGGACUCAGUGGAGGUUGUGAGUGCCCAGCAGUGUGGCCUGAAUCUCCGUGGGGUUUAGGGAGACGAAAGGACCCCAGAUCGACGUCCCCUCGUUCCCACUUUGGGGAUCGGCGCUCUGGCUGUUUCGUGAAGGAGAGAGAGGUUGAUUCCAUACCCUGGCUAUUGUGAAUAAUGCUGCAGUGAACAUGGGAGUACAUACAUCUGUUUGAGGAACUCAGAGUGGUUUUCCAGAUGGGAAUCACAUUGCUCUCUGUCCCUGAGAUCUUGCUGGAGACAGGGCUACUCAGUCCCUCUUUGCCAGAUUGAUACUGGAAAAGCAGUUUCUAUUGAGCCCCCAAAUGAAGAGUGAGUGCAGAUGAAGAGGAGGCAGGACUCACAAGCCCUUGAACUUUAUUCCAGAUCUGUUAGCACCUACAGGACCCUGCACCAGGAUUUCAUCUGUACUAUCAGCUUCUUCAAAGAGAGAGAGGUUGUUGAAUUGAUAUUGGAAAAGCAGUUUCCCAUUGAGUCUCAAAUGAAGAGAGUGCAGAUGAAGAGGAGCUCUUCAUGUGGAUGUCUGAGCUCAUAUCAGGUGUCUGAAAGAGGCAGAUUCUGAGGAUUUGGGUCAUGAUGGCUGCCAAAGCUUCUACUCCUGACUUAAAGGGCAACAAUCCUAGGAGACCACCAGCACUUACAUCCCUGGUAGGACAUGACACCUGCUUAUGGCUCAGAAGUGACAAAAGAGAAUUAUCAGGAUGGCAGUCCUUAUAACCAGAUGCUUAUCAACAUUCUUCACUACAUUCUGAAGAUGAAUUUCUACAAGGGAAAUUGUUUAUAUUUGUUGUUGGGGAUAGAUAAGGAAAGAAGAAAAAGGCUCUGGUGAGAAACCCAUUGUACCUUCUGGAUAUGAUCACUACCCAAUUUUAUCAGUGUCAUUGAUCACUAACCCAGUGCCUCGUAUGGUGCCAGGCACAGAGUUACUCCAAGAAUGUACAAUAAUGGCUGGAUUCUCUUUCUCCCUGUGCAACUCUUCAUGCAUGUGACUGAACUUAUAUUAAGUGUCUGAAGGAGGUUCGUUCUGAGGAUCUGGGACAUGAUGGGUGCUGAAGCUUCUACUCAAGAUUUGAAGGGCAGCUGUCCUCAGGAGACCCCUGGCACUUCCCUCCAUGGUGGGAUGUGAUGCCUGAUUCCAGUGAGUUCAUAGAGCUGAACAAAAGUACGUUGUGGAAUAGCUCCUGUGAGGUUCACAACAUAGUCCGGAAGAUGAGAAACUACUUUUUUUAGUAACCUGGAUUCCCAUCUAAGAGAUGCCUUACUUUAUCGUAAAGCAAUGAGUUGUUCACUUGAGGAGGGAACUUCAUGUUUAACAUGUAUUUGCAACAAAUUUACAUACAUUUUCUGCCUGUAUGAAUAGUUGUCAGUGAUGCCCAUGAAUUUCUCAGAUGGAUGUUGAAGUAUACAGUUAGAAGGUUAGAAGAUCUUCCUAGCAAUCUGUGAUUACGGUAUGCAUUCUUCCAUGGUUUCUACGUUUUUGUCUAUUCUAUAAUGAAAUUUUCUAAGAAGCCAGAAAUUAAUUAAGUGCUACCUAAAAAUAUCAAAAUGUCAGGUACAAGAAUUUGGCAUUUUCAAAAUUAGUAAUUACAAUGUAAGUUUGCCCUAUUAUAAUGAUACCCAGCUAUGUCCAGUAACAUAACUAGAUUGUUCUGAAUACCGUUAUUAUUUCCCAAUAAUACAAACAUCACAAUUUCAGUUCUGUAGUACCUGGCCUACCUACCCUUCCCACUGCCUUGCCCCAGGUAAACACAGCAUGCCUGUCACUAUACAUUAUUUUACAUGCCUGGAAAUAUAUUUAAAUGGAAUCAUAGAGGUGGUUUCUUUUUUUUUUUUUUAUCAACACCUGGCUUUUUUCAUUCACUCCACUUAUUUUUAUAUUUAUCCAUUUUAUUGCAUUUAUCUAUUGAUAUACUUCAUUCUUUUUGAUUGCUAAAUACUAUUGCGGUAUACAACCACACUAAACAUUUUAUUAUCCAUCCAUUUGUCGAUGGACAUUUUGGUUGUUUCUCAUUUGGGGCUCUUGUAAAUAAAGCUGCUAUGAACAUUUGUG